CCGUAGACCCGGAAGGGCGCGGGCCCUAGUGGCGGACGGGUGAGUAACGCGUGGGGAACCUGCCCCGUACCGGGGGAUAACACCUGGAAACAGGUGCUAAUACCGCAUAACAGAAGGGGACGCAUGUUUCUUUCUUGAAAACUCCGGUGGUACGGGAUGGACCCGCGUCUGAUUAGCUGGUUGGCGGGGUAACGGCCCACCAAGGCGACGAUCAGUAGCUGGCCUGAGAGGGCGGACGGCCACAUUGGGACUGAGACACGGCCCAAACUCCUACGGGAGGCAGCAG
rnacentral:rRNA from 1 species